GGUCCCGUGGUGUAGCGGUUAACAUGCCUGCCUGUCACGCAGGAGAUCGCGGGUUCGAUUCCCGUCGGG
rnacentral:tRNA from 1 species